GUUUUGCGCAAGGGAUAGAGGCAUUUGUUGAAGCUCUUUUUAUUUUUUUUAACGUUAAUAAAUGUAAAAAAUAAAAAAGCGACUGCCGAUAGCCCGACCCUUU
rnacentral:misc_RNA from 1 species